rnacentral:rRNA from 1 species
GCUAUCAGCCAAAGCACAUUGAAUACGCUGGUUCUCGUCCGAUCACCGAAGCUAGCCAAUGUUUACCUGAUUAGUACUUUGAAGGGACAUCGCCGAAAAACACCGGGUGUUGCUAGCA